GGGUGUAUAGCUCAGUUGGUAGAGCAGCUGACUCUUAAUCAGCGGGUCCAAGGUUCGAGUCCUUGUACACCCACCA
rnacentral:tRNA from 21 species